GACGAACGCUGGCGGCGUGCCUAAUACAUGCAAGUCGAGCGGAACUGGGGGAGCUUGCUCCUUCCAGUUUAGCGGCGGACGGGUGAGUAACACGUGGGCAACCUGCCCUGCAGAUCGGGAUAACUCCGGGAAACCGGUGCUAAUACCGAAUAGUUUGUCGCCUCUCCUGAGGCGUCACGGAAAGACGGUUGCGGCUGUCACUGCAGGAAGGGCCCGCGGCGCAUUAGCUAGUUGGUGGGGUAACGGCCCACCAAGGCGACGAUGCGUAGCCGACCUGAGAGGGUGACCGGCCACACUGGGACUGAGACACGGCCCAGACUCCUACGGGAGGCAGCAGUAGGGAAUCUUCCGCAAUGGACGCAAGUCUGACGGAGCAACGCCGCGUGAGUGACGAAGGUUUUCGGAUCGUAAAACUCUGUUGUGAGGGAAGAACACGUACCAACUAACUAUUGGUACCUUGACGGUACCUCACCAGAAAGCCACGGCUAACUACGUGCCAGCAGCCGCGGUAA
rnacentral:rRNA from 1 species